GAUGAACGCUGGCGGCGUGCCUAAUACAUGCAAGUAGAACGCUGAAGGAGGAGCUUGCUCUUUCCGGAUGAGUUGCGAACGGGUGAGUAACGCGUAGGUAACCUGCCUGGUAGCGGGGGAUAACUAUUGGAAACGAUAGCUAAUACCGCAUAACAGUAGAUAUUGCAUGAUAUUUGCUUGAAAGGGGCAAUUGCUCCACUACCAGAUGGACCUGCGUUGUAUUAGCUAGUUGGUGAGGUAACGGCUCACCAAGGCGACGAUACAUAGCCGACCUGAGAGGGUGAUCGGCCACACUGGGACUGAGACACGGCCCAGACUCCUACGGGAGGCAGCAGUAGGGAAUCUUCGGCAAUGGACGGAAGUCUGACCGAGCAACGCCGCGUGAGUGAAGAAGGUUGUCGGAUCGUAAAGCUCUGUUGUAAGAGAAGAACGAGUGUGAGAGUGGAAAGUUCACACUGUGACGGUAUCUUACCAGAAAGGGACGGAUAACUACGUG
rnacentral:rRNA from 1 species